GGUGAGAAGGUGAAACAUCCCCUCCAAGAGUUGUGCGCUGGGUUUGGGACCCGCCACGCAAAAAGCGCCUCCAAUGAAAAGGAACAAACAGCCUCUGAAAAGAAAAUAACCAUGGCUAACGCACUAAAGAUAACAAUUUAAGGGCAUGCACCUGGAAUGUCCCGUCCUUUAAUUAGGAAGGUGCUGCUGCCCAGCUGGUUGAUAUCUUCGUUAGAAUUAAGGCUGACAUCACCGCCCUCCUAGAAAUGCGAUGGGUCCCGUCCAUCAAGAACUGUGGCAUUUACUACGAUGGUCAAUAAUUUUAGUCUGCUCUGAGCAUCAGUUACCAGAUCACCUCUGGGGCGUCUACAAGAGUAUGCAUUGGUCUUGAAACCUUCUGUUAGUCGUCACAUCUUUUCGUAGAAUUUUCGAGCAUUAGCCCUGUCGGCCAGCUUUUCAAGCUCUUCAACUCACGAAUCUCGGCCUCUUUCUUUUUCUAUCUGCAAAUGCAUCUCGCUUUCCUUUUCAACUCUGGGUAUCUAUCCCAUCCCGCACGUGUUGUGGUCGCUCGUAACGUUGCGAGGUAGGAAGUCUGUUUCUUUCCGCGGUGACAUGGCACUCCUCAUCGUACCAGCUGUUAUAUUGUUUUAUCGAAAACCAAUUGUUUUUUUGCAGCUGUACGUAAGGAGUUUGAAAUACCGUCCCAAAGUUCCCUUAUACAGAGAUGUUGACGAGUGCUCUCAGAGAGCAGGAGUGCAAGCCGAGUAGAAAAUCGUUCGGCUGUCUGUUGUGAUUGCAGCUUCUCGACGUCGAACCUUUCUCUUGUUUGUUGACGUGCGCUUUUUGCUGCACAGAGGCGGGUGCGAAUCUUGGCUGCAACAAGAUAGUGGUCCGAGCCGAUGUUAGGACCUCGAAGCGUACGCACGUCUAGAACACUGGAGACGUGUCUUCCGUCUAUCACAACAUGAUCGAUCUGGUUGGUGGCUUUUCGAUCCGGAGACAGCCAGGUAGCUCGAUGUAUUUUCUUAUGCUGGAAUCUAGUACCGAAGAUAACCAUAUUACGGGCCCGGCGAAGUCGAUCAGUCCUCAACCCAUUUGGGGAUGUUUCGUCGUGGAGGCUGAAUUUACCGACCGUAGUGCCAAAGUUAGUUUCUUUGCCCACCCUGGCGUUAAAGUCACCAAACACGAUUUUGACAUCGUGGCGGGAGCAGCUCUCAUAGGCGCGCUCCAAGCGCUCAUAGAAGGCGUCUUUGGUCUCAUCGUCCUUCUCUUCCGUCGGGGCGUGGGCGCAAAUCAGCGAUAUGUUGAAGAACCUCGCUUUGAUGCGGGUUGUGGAUAGACAUUCAUUCAUCGGAGUGAAUGAUAGUACUCGGCGACGGAGUCUCUCUCUCACCAUGAAUCCCACACCAAACUUGCGCUCCUUUAUAUGCCCACUGUAGUAAAUGCCACAAGGACCUACUUGUCUCAGGUUUUGUCCCGUCCAUGUCAGCCUUUAUUUUCGUGAGGACAUUAACCAGCUGGGCAGCGGCUCCUUCCCAAUUAAGGCACUGGUCAUUCCAGGUGCAUGUCCUUAUUUCGUUUGCCAUGGUCGUCAUCAAAAGGGGGUCUCUUAUCCGAGGCUGAUUGCUAAUUUUCAUCGGCGGGUCCCAAACCCAGCGCACAACCCUAUGCAGGGCAUAUUUCACCUCCUCACUUUAGCUCGUCUUCAAACGGAUGUUCUUAGAUCAAAGACCGGAAGUCGUGAGCUGGUUGAGCCAUAUGUAAAAGAAUCGUUUCUGGCCACUCCCAAGCGAAUGGCGAUCAGAGAACUUGCGUGAACUUCUACACAUGACUCCAUCCUCCACUAUAUCGAUUAGUUUAAGGUAAUAAAUACAACCGUUAAGUGAACAAAACUAUUUUUCUCUGUAGCAGCAUUUAUAGUAUAAAUACAUAUAUACAUACAUAUGUCUUCAUAGUUUCAACUCAAAGCCUUUGUGGCACCUUUUAUAAUUAACUUAGUUUGAAAGGCCAUAACCUUCCCUAAAUAAAGCGGCAGCGGCAAAUAACUGAGAGAAAAACCUUAUGCACAUAGACUUGUUAUGACACAUACCGAAAUCACGCAAAUUUCGAGUUUGACAAUGAAGUCUGUUAGGUAUUAAAAAAAAACGCACGUAUACUCGUAAAAUGAAUCAAAAGAGUUUAGGCACCGUAAACUUAAAUGUUUAUGUAAAAAUUGCAGGUUUCCCUUUGAAUUUGCAGAAGUAAUAAUAAUCAUAAUUUCAACAUUUUUAUUAUAUAUUCAACUAAAAGCAGUGACGGAUUAAACUAGCGCAGGGCCUGUAGCAAAUUCUGUCAGGGGGCCCUUGGUUUGCUAUAGUUUCUCAAGUUUAGGGUACUAAAUAUAACAAAAUUGUUACAAAUAAAUUUUUCUGUAUUUAUUAUAGGCAAAUUUAGAGAUAAUACUUUCAAUGUCGACUUCUUUAAGCAAGUCAUGCUCUAUAUUCAAUAAAGUGAGAUGAUUAAGACGUUCUUUUAUCAUGUUCCUUAAUUCAUUUUUAAUACGCUUAAUGUUGAAAAAGAACCUUCGCCACUGCAGUUAGUGAUCAAGAGAGAUAAGUAAAUUCGGAAAGCAAUUUCUAAGUUUGGGACACACGAUUCUAAAGAAUUAUUUAAUAAAAGUUUAUAAUAUUGCUGUUCCUGAGGAUUCUGUUUCUUGCUGUCAAUAACAGUGGCCACAUCCCUUCUCAGCAGCUCUGCGCACUACACUAAUUCGCCGCCUAGGCUGUCCUCCAAAUCAUCUUCGUAAGCACUGACCAUUACUAGGGAAUUUUUCCAAGAUCUCUUCUGUUGUAAGAGAUUUUAGCUGUCGAAGGACUUUAAAAACACUAGUAAUUUUAUCAUAUGCUUUCAUAUGUUUAGUUAAAGCAGACAGUACGUUAUCAAUAAUGACAAUAAACACCUCAAAUUCGAAACGUUGUCCAGGUGUUUGAUUUUCAACAAAGUCAUCGAGUGUAGUAGGGCCGUAAUGUUUCUGUAUAGCAGUCUGCAGCGCACUUAGCAAUUAAUGAAUGUACAUGACAGGGAAUGUACUCGUAAUCUGCAUACUUAUUUAUUUUCUUAAUUCGGCCUUGUAAGCGAUGUAUUUCCCACUCAUGUUGCUGGCAUUACAAUAGCUUUGCCCACGACAGUCUUUGAUAUUAAUGCCACUCUCACUCAAGAAAUCUACUAAACUUUGAACGAGUUGUUCAGCAGUAUGACCUUACAUGUCCAAGAACUUAACAAAUCUUUCCACUGGUCCAGAUAGCAGAACAUGAUUUGAGACUCUGAAACACCUUGCUCUUAAGGCUGGACUAAAAAUUGUUGUUUAUAACCUACGAACGGCUGAACCGAUUUGGCUGAAAAUUUGUGGGAAGGUACAUAGCUUAGAACCAGGGUAAGGAUAUAUGACACUUUUCAUUUCUUUAUAUUAGAAUCCAAUACAACUCACGAAAACAAAAAUUAUAUUUCAAAUUGAAAUUAUUUGUUAAAAAGUCACGUUUGUAGAAAUCAUUUGAAAAUUUCAUUUAAAAAAAAAAAACAUAACAAAAACAAUAAAAAAAACCUCACAUCUAUAUAUAUAAAAGAAAGUCGUGUUAGUUACACCAUUUAUAACUCACGAACGGCUGAACGGAUUUGGCUGAAAUACAACUCAUGAAAACAAAAAUUAUAUUUUAAAUCAUAAGCAUUUGUUCAGAAUUCAUGUUUGUUGAAAUCAUUUGAAUAUAUAAUAUGCGUACAAUUUUUAACAGACUCUUCCACAAAAAUAAUAUAAUUGUUAAGUAUUUAUAAUAGUAGAAAAGAACUGCAACCAAAUACGCAGUGAAAUAGAUUAUAACUGGCUCAGUUAAAAGCCGAUGAGCAUGUAUUAUACCACGUACAUCCAAAAGACUGAUGUCAUAACCUUUCCAGCCGACUUUUUUGUCUUUCCACGCCUGAGAACCGGUUCAUCAUGUGCAGCCCACUAGAAUGACUGUGGUUCGGACUCCAGUGGGAAUAGAAGGAGCUAUGUUUCUAUUGUCACACACCGACGCAAGAAUUCUGUUUUAUUACGAUUAAAGAGCACUCAAACACUUCUCAGAAUCAGUUAUUCGUUGUUUUUUUGGAUUAUGAACUUGCGGGGCGGCCACUUUGCACAGAGUUUUCGUCUCUUUAAGGGGUUAGGGGUUAUUUUCCUUAAGUGUAAUAUUUUAAAAAUAUUCCCUGAAAAUUUCACGUUGAUCCAAUAAUUAGUUUUUGAGUUAUUCGAGAAAUAAGAAAGAGAGCUCGGGCACUUCAAGGCGCUAGUGUAAAACUUUAAGCGCGUUUUUCUCAAAACUAUGUUUUUUGAAUGGGUGACAACUGUAACUCGAAACCCGUUCAGUAGGUUUUAAUGAAAUUUAUACUGCUUUUAGAAUACAUAAUAAACUAGGCCUGAUCGAAGGAUUUUUAUUUUUUCGAAAAUUUCGAUUUUUGAAGAUGAACUGUAGAUAUUUUCGCAAAAAUUUAGAAAAAAAUGUCCUGAGGCCGCCAUUUUGUUAAUUUUGAAAAAAAAAAUAAAAUCUUUCGAUCAGGCCCGGGAUUAUCUAUUUAUAAAACGAAUUUUCUUUGUCCGAUUGUUUUUAGAUGAAUCUCCAAGGACUUAUGCUUGUCACCGCAAGUACCUUUUUUUGGAACAGGGUCAACACAAACAACUAUAACUUUAGAAAUUCGAUUUUUUUUUGAAAUUUUCGUGACUUCAAGUCAACACAUCCUAUAAUAAUGGCAUAUUACUACUUUUGUAAAAUAACAUGAUUUAGUAGAAAAAAAAAUACUGGAAACUCUAAUUUUUUCGUGCCUCUGACUAUCCCUAACCCCUUAAGGUUAGCAAAUAUCUUUUCAUCGGUGAAUUUCCCUGAGCCCAAAUUCAACAGUAUUUUCCCCCAAAAAGCAAUGUUUAUUAAGACACGAAAUGUUUUAUGAUCCAUUUUUUUGUAAACUAACACAAGUUGCUUCACAAAAAUGUUAUAUCUCAUUAACUAAUAGCUAGAAAUCAUAUCGAAAACUCUCAUUGCCUGCUCAGUCCGAAGGAGAACCUGUUGGAAAGAGUUAUUCUGCGUUGGAUUUCGAGGCCGACAUUGUUUUUGCUGUUAAUGCUGGUUCCAAGGUAGACGAAAUUAUCUAUGACUUCGAAGUUAUGACUGUCAACAGUGACGUGGGAGCCUAGUCGCGGGUGCGACAACUGUUUGUUUGAUGACAGGAAAUGUUUCGUCUUGCCCUCGUUUACUGCCACACCCAUUUGCUUUGGUUCCUUACCCAGUUUGGAGAAAGCAGAAUUAACGGUUCGGCUGUUAAAGCCAGUGAUAUCAAUAUCAUCAGCAUACGCUGUUCACUCUUAUAGAAGAUUGUUCCUGAUCGAUUAAGUUCUGCAACUCGAAUUAUAUUCUCCAGCAGCACAUUAAAAAAGUCUCACGAUAGAGAGUCGCCUUGUCCGAAAUCUCGUUUAGUAGCGAACGCUCGGAGAGGUUCUUCCAGCGUUUUGUCUCCUUUUUUGUGGAUUGGGCAGAGCACACUUAAAUUCCAAUCGUUAUUUUACAAAGAAGCUGAUGCAUGCUCCUUAUCAGUUCUUCACCGCCGUGUUUGAAUAGCUCGGCCUGCAAACCAUCGGCCCCCACCGCUUUGUUCUUCAAACGAGUAAUUGCUAUUCGAACUUCUUCAUGGUUGGGCAAUAGGAUGUCUGCUCCAUCGUCAUCGAUUGGGGAAUCGGGUUCGACAUCUCUUGGUGUUAUGCUUUCACUGCCAUUAAGCAGGCUGAUGAAGUGUUCCCUCCUCAACUCUCAGUAUCUAUCGCGUUCCGCACGUGUUGUGGUCGAUCGUAUCGUUGCGAGAAAGUCUGUUUUCUCUCCACUGCAACACGGUACACCUCAUCCUACCAUCUGUUCUUGUGCGUUUUCCGAAAACCAAUGAUGAUAGUGCGAAUCGAGUAGAAAAUCGUUCGGCUGUCUCUUGUGACAGAACCGAAAGUUAUUACGACUUUUAUCCUUGCAAGUUGCGAGAGCACGAAUUAUUCGGUUUUAUCCGAACUUGGACCUUAUUUAUUUUUCGAAUACUAAAAUCAAGAAAUUUGGCCAAAACUGUAAUAUUCAUAAUCAUAUUUCGAAAACUAUAGCAGCUGUAGAAAAACUAACUUCAGAUUUGGGAUCAGUGUGGCGAAAUCAUACAAAUUCGUUUAAGAUAUACUCACGAAAUUAUAAACAACCUAAUUACAUCAGUUGGUAAACAAGAACUGCGAGCUUCAAACCCAGAAUCUUAAUAUCAGUAUUAAGCACAGAAACGUCAUGGAAUUGGACUGGAUUGCAGGUGGUGGAAAUAUACAUAAAUCGUAUUUCAGGCAUAAAUUCGUGUAUAUGGAUAUUUUACGACAAGUGUUGAAAGGGAUCGAAGGAGACUUUUCUCGAGUCAACAACGACUGUAAGUUGCUCAAGAAGGAUUAUUAUAUAUUUGUCCACACCACGAAAGGAAGAAGUGCAACUUUCCCACCAUUACGAAGUUAAAAAUGUUAAAAAUAAAAUAAGCAUAAAAUCUAAAAUUUAAAUUAAAUAAAUUGUAAAUAAAUAAAAUUGUACAGUCGUGCCGAGUUUGCAGAAGUUCGAAUUUGUUCGUCAGAAGCUGAGAACAAGCCGAAAAGAAAGCUUAAAGGUUCUACACAAAUUCAUUUUUUAAACAGAAGGAAACGCUUACGGGAUUUUACUGGCUUUGAAUUCGACAAAAAUGACGAGCGCUAUACCCGAAAUUGAUCUAAGUACAAGUUUAACAUGCAGUGUAAGUAAUUUGAAACUGCACAUAUUACGAAAUGUGCGAUGACGAAUGUGUCGAUGAAGGUGCCGAAGACAACGACGACGAUGAUCAUGGUGAUGUUAUGCGCAGUUUUGAAGACGCUUGCACAAAUAGUAUCACAUUUGAAUGUCAACAAAGGGUAAAUGUUGGAAGCGAACGCGUUGCAAAAAAUAUGACAAGCAGAAAUGACGAUACAUCUAAUAUGAAACACAAAUGUCGCGGUUUUCAAAGAACUUUCGUGACGUAGAAGACUCUAUUCGUUGGUCUGAUGGCAGUGAUAAAACAGAUGUCGAAGUGUGGCUAAACGAGUUCUAAGAAAUUUCUAUUUUAUAUUUAGGGUACUCACAACCUGUCGUAAAGCACCGUAAAAUCGUAAAAUUAUACAUUUUUACACUUGUUUAAAAAAAUUUUUGUUGGAUUUCAUACAAAAAUGAGUUUACACAUUUACAAUUCUGAAUGCUAUGUUUUCGAAUCGUUAUAACUUAUAACUUUAUGAGACUUGUGAAAACUCUAGCUAUGUUUUCGAAUCGUUAUAACUUACAACUUUAUGAGACUUGUGAAAAAACUAAUUAUAUAUUAAAUAUAAUUAUAUUAAAUUUACUUCCCGCGUAAAACAAACAAUAAAACAUUUGCUUGCCAAUAAACACUUGUUGACGCGGGAAGUAAAUUUAAUAUACAUAAAUAUGUAUGUAAUUACGGGGAUGGAGUUCACGCAAGUGAGGACAGUUCUCUGAUCGCCAUUCACUUGGGAGUGGUCAGAAACGAUGCUUUUACAUAUGGCUCAAGCAGCUCACGACUUCCGGUCUUCGACCAAAUAUCCUCUGGGUAGCCUAAGAACAUCCGUUUGAAGGCGAGCUUAUGUGAGAAGGCAAAACAUUCCCUGCAUAGGGUUGUGCGCUGGGUUUGGGACCCGCCACGUAAAAAAACACUCCAGUGAAUAGUCAUAACCAGCCACGGAUGAGAGACCCCCCUUUUGAUGACGACCACGGCAAACGAAAUAGGGACUACGAAUUGAGGGCAUGCACCUGGAAUGUCCGGUCCCUUAAUUGGGAAGGUGCCGCUGCCCAUCUGGUUGAUGUCCUCACGAAAAUAAAGGCUGACACCACCGCUGUCCAAGAAAUGCGAUGGACGGCUACAGUGGCCAUAUAAAUCGUGCUUGGCAACUUUAACGCCAGGGUGGGUAAAGAAAGUAUCUUUGGCAUUACAGUCGGUAAAUUCAGCCUCCACGACGAAACAUCCCCAAAUAGGUUGAGGCUGAUCAACUUCGAACGAAAAUACUGAGAGUUGAGGGAUCACUUCUUCAGCCUGCUCAAUGGUAGUGAAAGCAUAACACCAAGAGAUGUCAAAAUCGAUUCCCCAAUCGAUGACGAUGGAGCAGACAUUCCAUUGCCCAACCAUGAAGAAGUUCAAAUAGCAAUUACUCGAUUGGAAUUUAAGUGUGCUAUGCCCAAUCCACAAAAAAGGAGACCCCACAAUCUGCGCCAACUACCGUGGGAUAAGCCUCCUCAACAUCGGAUAUAAGGUUCUAUUGAGCGUAUUGUUUGAAAACUAAUUGGACCUUAUCAGAGGGGCUUUAGACCCUUCAAAUCAAUAGCUGACCAGAUAUUCACCAUGCGCCAAAUCUUGGAAAAGACCCGUGAAAGGAGAAUCGACACUCACCACCUAUUCGUCGAUUUCAAAGCUGCUUUCGACAGCACGAAAAGGAGCUGCCUCUAUGCCGCGACGUCUGAAUUUGGCACUGAACGAGGGCAAGAUGAAAUAUCUCCUGUCAUCAAACAAACAGUCGUCGCACUCGCGACUUGGCCCCCACGUCACUGUUGACAGUCAUAACUAUGAAGUUGUAGACAAUUUCGUCUAUUUAGGAACCAGCAUUAACACCACCAACAAUGUCAGCCUGGAAAUCCAACGCAGGAUUACUCUUGCCAACAGGUGCUACUUCGAACUGAGUAGGCAAUUGAAAAGUAAAGUCCUCUCUCGACGAACAAAAGCCAAACUCUAUAAGUCGCUCAUAAUUCCCGUCCUGCUAUAUGGUGCAGAGGCUUGGACGAUGACAACAACCGAUGAGUCGACGUUGCGAGUUUUCGAGGAAAAAGUUCUGCGAAAGAUUUAUGGUCCUUUGCGCGUUCGCCACGGCGAAUAUCGCAUUCGAUGGAACGAUGAGCUGUACGAGAUAUACGACGACAUUGACAUAGUUCAGCGAAUUAAAAGACAGCGGCUACGCUGGCUAGGUCAUGUUGUCCGAAGGGACGAAAACACUCCAGCUCUGAAAGUAUUCGACGCAGUACCCGUCGGGAGAAGCAGAGGAAGAGGAAGACCUCCACUCCGUCUGAAGGACCAAGUGGAGAAGGACCUGGCUUCGCGUGGAAUAUCGAAUUGGCGCCACGUAGCGAAAAGACGAAACGACUGGCGCGCGGUUGUUAACUCGGCUAUAAUCGCGUAAGCGGUGUCUACGCCAGUAAAGAAGAAGAAGAAUUACAUAAAAUGUUUUCAAGUCGCUACAUGAACCUGUCUUAUAAGAGAUAAAGAUUUGUCUAUUAGGUUUUGGUGAAUCUAAGCCUUGUAAUAAUAUAAAGGGUGAUUUUUUAAGAGCUUGAUAACUUUUUAAAAAAAAAAAACGCAUAAAAUUUGCAAAAUCUCAUCGGUUCUUUAUUUGAAACGUUAGAUUGGUUCAUGACAUUUACUUUUUGAAGAUAAUUUCAUUUAAAUGUUGACCGCGGCUGCGUCUUAGGUGGUCCAUUCGGAAAGUCCAAUUUUGGGCAACUUUUUCGAGCAUUUCGGCCGGAAUAGCCCGAAUUUCUUCGGAAAUGUUGUCUUCCAAAGCUGGAAUAGUUGCUGGCUUAUUUCUGUAGACUUUAGACUUGACGUAGCCCCACAAAAAAUAGUCUAAAGGCGUUAAAUCGCAUGAUCUUGGUGCCCAACUUACGGGUCCAUUUCUUGAGAUGAAUUGUUGUCCGAAGUUUUCCCUCAAAAUGGCCAUAGAAUCGCGAGCUGUGUGGCAUGUAGCGCCAUCUUGUUGAAACCACAUGUCAACCAAGUUCAGUUCUUCCAUUUUUGGCAACAAAAAGUUUGUUAGCAUCGAACGAUAGCGAUCGCCAUUCACCGUAACGUUGCGUCCAACAGCAUCUUUGAAAAAAUACGGUCCAAUGAUUCCACCAGCGUACAAACCACACCAAACAGUGCAUUUUUCGGGAUGCAUGGGCAGUUCUUGAACGGCUUCUGGUUGCUCUUCACCCCAAAUGCGGCAAUUUUGCUUAUUUACGUAGCCAUUCAACCAGAAAUGAGCCUCAUCGCUGAACAAAUUUGUCGAUAAACACAUUUCGAACCGAACACUGAUUUUGGUAAUAAAAUUCAAUGAUUUGCAAGCGUUGCUCGUUAGUAAGUCUAUUCAUGAUGAAAUGUCAAAGCAUACUGAGCAUCUUUCACUUUGACACCAUGUCUGAAAUCCCACGUGAUCUGUCAAAUACUAAUGCAUGAAAAUCCUAACCUCAAAAAAAUCACCCGUUAUAACCAAUUGGGGAACUAUGUAAGUCUUGACGUAAGCAUAACAGUCAAGUUUUUAGUUUAAAGUUUUUUGGUAAUACCUUCAAAAUUGAUGGAUAUUGACGGAGAUUUCUGCUUGCAAGCAGAUAUUCAAAUAAAUCAAGCUGGACUUUCUAUUCGAAAAAUUCCUUUGGACAAUGUUGAUAGAUAAUAUAUACAGAAUAAAUUCAAAUCAACGAAUGUACAAAUGAAUAUUAUUUUAAAUGAUGCAAUUCCAUUAUCGUUUAUACCACUUAGACUGCAAUUAACACAAAGAAGCAUUCUUGACCUUUUAACAGGUCAGUGGUUCAAAGAGAACAUAAUUUUAAACUCAAAUUCCGAUUUUAGUUGCCCAAGAUUUUUUUUAGAUUAUAGACAAUUAAACAAAGUCAUUGUAAAAGAUAGAUUCCCAUUACUUUUAUUUAGCACAAUUGACUUAAAAAAUGGAUUUUACACGUCAUUCGUUACACAUGACGGGCAGUACACAUUUUUAUACUCUCGCAAUAAAGUUGCUAAGUAGAGUAUUAUAGUUUUGUUCACAUAACGGUUGUUUGUAAGUCCUAAAACUAAAAGAGUCAGAUAUAGGGUUAUAAUAUAUACCAAAGUGAUCAGGGUGACGAGUAAAGUUGAAAUCCGGAUGUCUGUCUCUCCGUCCGUCCGUCCGUGCAAGCUGUAACUUGAGUAAAAAGUCAGAUAUCAUGAUGAAACUUGGUACACGUAUUUCUUGGCGCCAGGUUAUGUUCGAAGAUGGGCAAAAUCGGCCCACAGCCACGCCCACAAAAUGGCGAAAACCGAAAACCUAUAAAGUGUCAUAACUAAGCCAUAAAUAAAGAUAUUAAGGUAAAAUUUGGCACAAAGGAUCGCAUUAGGGAGGGGAAUUUUUGGACGUAAUUUUUAUGGAAAAGUGGGCGUGGCCCUGCCCCCUACUAAGUUUUUUGUACAUAUCUCGGAAACUACUAUAGCUAUGUCAACCAAACUCUAUAGAAUCAUUUCCUUCAGGCGUUUCCAUAUACAGUUCAAAAAUGGAAGAAAUCGGAUAAUAACCACGCCCACCUCCCAUACAAAGGUUACGUUGAAAAUCACUAAAAGUGCGCUAACCGACUAACAAAAAACGUCAGAAACACUAAAUUUUUCGGAAGAAAUGGCAGAAGGAAGCUGCACCCAGGUUUUUUUCAAAAAUUGAAAAUGGGCGUGGCGUCGCCCACUUAUGGAUCAAGAACCAUAUCUCAGGAACCACUCGACCGAUUUCAAUGAAAUUCGGUAUAUAAUAUUUUUUAACACCCUGAUGACAUGUACGAAAUAUGGGUGAAAUCGGUUCACAACCACGCCUUCUUCCAAUAUAACGCUAUUUUGAGUUCCAUCUGAUGCCCUCUCUGUAUAAUAUAUACAUACAUUAGGAACCAAUGAUGAUAGCGGAAUAAAACUUUACACAAAUACGGUAUUUGAGCUGAGGUAUCCCUUGUGGAAAAAUCGUCGUGAUCGGACUAUAACUUUUCAAGGUCUCUGAUAUCGAACACGAAGAACUCAGUGCCUAAUCUAACCUAACCUAAUUUUUCACCGAAAGUAUCGGUGAAUCUCUCGGAAUUUAAUUCUAAUUAAUUUUACAGCAAAAUAAAAAAAAUGUAAAUGACGGAUAAUGAAAUCUCGAUUAUCACUUUAUCAUGCGAGAGUAUAAAAUGUUCGGUGACACCCGAACUUAGCCCUUCCUUACUUGUUUUUAUUUAAUUUUGUUACAUUCGUAAACGUCAAAACCCGCGGUAUUAAUUAAUUGACGUUUUCCCAAUUGCUUUGUAUAUUCGACGUAAUUGAUUCGUUCACAAAAUUCGCUUAGUUAUACCCAAUAAACACUACUUCAUCACACGAAACUAUCAGCCGUUUGAGAAUACAAAAUGCAUCAUUCGGAAAUUCAACCCACAUAGUCACAGACUUGAUUAGCUUUUACGUCUGACAACUUUCGGCGCUAUUGUGAGGAGGAAAACAUUAAGCAUGAUAAAAUAACCAUUGGCUUGGCCCGUGAUAAUAAAUUCCACAUACAACAAAAGUAUUGACAUGACACCUUUUGAAUUACUCACAGGCCUUAAAAUCCGUACCGCUGACAUGAAUAUCACACAAGGUAUCGAAGAAGAAACAACUCCAAGAAGGAAGAGACGAAAUACGACAAAAGGCAAAAGAACAAGUAGUAAAAAUGCAAAUUGAAAAUAAAAAGACAUACAAUCUUAGACGCAAAGAAGCUAACUAAUAUUCAGUAAACGGUUUAGUCACCGUGAAAAGAACACAGUUUGUGGCGGUCUUAAAUUGGAGCCAAACUAUUUUGUCCUUACCAAUAUAAGGUUAAGUUAAAGGUAAUAAAACCUAUGAUGUCAAAAAAGUUUGUGCAGGUGAAGGUCAAAAUCAAACGACGAGGUCAAAAACGAUGCAGGAUGACCGAGUUGUGGGAUUUGAGCAACACGGGAACCCUUUUUUUGCCAGAAGUUUCGAACGAAAGGCUCCGAAACAGAAAAUGGCAAUGAGAGACGAUGACUUGAUCAUAGAUAUGAACAAUAUCAGAAAUUCUUUUCUUACUCUCUCGCUUGUCAGCUGGCAGCGGACCCCGAUCUUUUUUCUGAGCUGGCAACAAAAUACAGUAAGGAUCGCGUCAAUCAGCUGUUUUAGAAAAAGGAGGAAUGCCAGAAGAAUGGCGAGUUGUUGAAAUUCUGUAAAAUUAGAUGUCGGUAGUUUGUAAAAUGAUUUAUAUGUACAUAUAUAUGGGUGAUAUAGGUCUAUUGCGGAAUCGGGCCCCCAAAAAUAAUAUAGUUAACGCGCUAUUUGCAUACUUCAGUGGUAGUGUGUAAAAUGCAAAAUACCCAAAAGUUAUAAAAUGCCCAAUCUAAUAUUUUUAAGCAGUGGCAUCUUUGGCAAAUGUUAUAAAAAGUGCGAGUUUUGUCAGCUCUCUCUCGAAUCAAAGAGUUUCGAAUCAAUUUAACUAUGACUUGACCACAGAAAGCAUAGCCGUACGCACGGGACGACGUUGAUUACAUAAUUUAUUAUAUUAGCUUAUUAUUAGAUUAUAAAAAAGAAGGUUUUUCCAAGAUGAACUGUUAAUUUAAUCCUUUAAUUCUUUUACUUUUAAGAAAACUAUUUUUCAUUAAAUAAUAAAACUUUGUACGUUGUAAAUCGUUUUGAAUAAUAUUUAACCGCAAUAUCAGUAUUUCAUUUUAACAACGAUGUCAAAGAUGCAACAAUUUUGACACCAUCGCAAUACGUUUCAGUUCAAUCGACGAGUGCAGGUUUUUCAGUUUUUGGAAUUGUGUGGUUCACAUUUAGGUAGAAUAAUUGUAUAAUGUAUGCUCCAGGUUUGGUAUUUUUUUGCUCCACUGAUGGUAAAGCCAAAAGUAUUGUAUUCGACUAUCUACAAUAUCUACAUCUACAUAAUUCCUAUGAAAAUAUAUCAACUUUUCCGUGUCUUACCCAUUCAACGAACAUGUGUCACAGCAAAGCUUGGCAGGGUAGAGUCAGUAAUAAAUAUACAGUUGAUGUUAUCCAUAACUUGAACUAUUGAAUUGGCGUUUAGAAGUCAAAUUUCAUACAAAAUUCCUUCCAUUACUCUAACUUACUUAAUUCAAAAUUCGCCAUUACUCGAUCUCUUGAAUUAGCAAAAUAGGUCAAAUUUCAAACAAAUUUUCCUUCCAUAAAUCGAACUUUUAAAUUAGUAUCUGAUUCUUUAAAUCGCAUCUUUCGGGAAAAUUCCACUUUGUUAAUGCUCAUGGCGUAGAAGUUGCCGUGCGUAUUUAUCCUUUCAAAUGUUACUACGAGUAUUACAGAUUAUAUUGAAGUGAACAAUGAGAUGAGCUCAGCGCGUUUAGAAGAGAUGAUAUUGUAGAACCGAAUAUUUCAUAACGAAUGAGGACUUCCAGCGUCAUGGAUUCUGAAGAUGGAAUUAUUUAACCGCCAUCCAAAAAUGAUGUAACGGAUUCCUUUGCAAUUUUAAUUACGAAUAUUAACACAACGACGAACACUACAAAGCUCUACGCAGCCAGCAUUUACUCAUAAAAAAAAAGCGUUUUUUAAGCGUUCAAAUGUAAGCAAAACACUUAUAAAACGCUGCUGUGACCUUUACAAAAGACAUCAAAGCAAGGGGUUUAUAAUCGAA